rnacentral:rRNA from 1 species
GACCUCAAAUCAGGUAGGACUACCCGCUGAACUUAAGCAUAUCAAUAAGCGGAGGAAAAGAAACUAACAAGGAUUCCCCUAGUAACUGCGAGUGAAGCGGGAAAAGCUCAAAUUUAAAAUCUGGCAGUCUUUGAUUGUCCGAGUUGUAAUCUAGAGAAGUGUUAUCCGCGUUGGACCGUGUACAAGUCUCCUGGAAUGGAGCGUCAUAGAGGGUGAGAAUCCCGUCUUUGACACGGACUACCAGUGCUUUGUGAUGCGCUCUCAAAGAGUCGAGUUGUUUGGGAAUGCAGCUCAAAAUGGGUGGUAAAUUCCAUCUAAAGCUAAAUAUUGGCGAGAGACCGAUAGCGAACAAGUACCGUGAGGGAAAGAUGAAAAGAACUUUGGAAAGAGAGUUAAACAGUACGUGAAAUUGCUGAAAGGGAAACGCUUGAAGUCAGUCGCGUUGUCCGGGGAUCAACCUUGCUUUUGCUGGGUGUACUUUCCGGUCGACGGGUCAGCAUCAAUUUUGACCGUUGGAUAAAGUGUAAGGGAAUGUGGCAUCUUCGGAUGUGUUAUAGCCCUUGCUCGCAUACAACGGUUGGGAUUGAGGAACUCAGUACGCCGCAAGGCCGGGAAUUUAUUCUACGUUCGUACUUAGGAUGCUGGCAUAAUGGCUUUAAUCGACCCGUCUUGAAACACGGACCAAGGAGUCUAACAUGCCUGCGAGUGUUUGGGUGGAAAACCCGAGCGCGUAAUGAAAGUGAAAGUUGAGAUCCCUGUCGUGGGGAGCAUCGACGCCCGGACCAGACCUUUUGUGACGGAUCUGCGGUAGAGCAUGUAUGUUGGGACCCGAAAGAUGGUGAACUAUGCCUGAAUAGGGUGAAGCCAGAGGAAACUCUGGUGGAGGCUCGUAGCGAUUCUGACGUGCAAAUCGAUCGUCAAAUUUGGGUAUAGGGGCGAAAGACUAAUCGAACCAUCUAGUAGCUGGUUCCU